GCCUUCUGGAAGGCGUUGCGCGCAGCAUUCGCCUCGGCGAGCUGCUCCUCGUCAUAGACGUAGAUCGC
rnacentral:sRNA from 1 species